GCCUCCUCAAUCCAGACCUUCUCAAUAUAUUCAAAAGCUAAAUUUGCAAGUGUAUCUGGAACUGUAUUGCCACUACACUUUACAAAGGAUAAAUCAAACUGACCAAAAUCCUAGCAAUAACUUUGCAAUCAUCAACAAAACUAUCAAAAUAGGAUGACUUUCCUUUUGUUGUACACAGAACCAGGCUUGGUUCAAAGGCAAACAAUCAGUUUCCAUGAGGACGAUGGUAAAGGAUAAUUCCGCUGCCAACAUUAAAACACAUCUCAAGGAUAAAAGUCUCGACCACUUUUGCAUGAUAACAAUGAGGGAUAAGUUUCGUAGUUGCUGCCAAAGUAUCUCCAUUAGAGUCUCUACAAAUGAAUCCCGUUCAGAUACCUCUACCCUGUUUCAGAGCUGCAUCAAAGUUAAUUUUCCCCCGUCAUUCUC
rnacentral:lncRNA from 1 species